GGCUGUAGCUCAGUGGCAGCGUGCUUGCCCAGCAUGCUGAGGUACUGGGUUCAAUCCUCAGCACCA
rnacentral:tRNA from 1 species